UAUAAUCCUUGGCAAAAUGUAAUGUGAUGAUUGUUAAGUCCGCAUACAUAUUGUAAGUGGUUGGAUUCAUUAUCACGGUGUCGUGUGUUACCUAGAAAUCUCGAUAAAAUGAAAUGAAGUUAACAUCCUGUUUAAAGUGAGUUCCUUUUCCUGUUUAUAGACUAAUUUCGUAAAUUUUAUCAAUGAAAUAUCUUAAGUACUAAUCAUUUUGUUGACAAAUGUACUAUAUAAGUCGACUUGCCUUGCAAGGAUUUUAUUGUGAGAUACCAAUGCAAGAUUGGUCGGGUUAGUCAGAAAAGAAGAGGGUUUUCAAUUUCUUAUUAUCCGAAAAAAACUUGAACAAGGGUAAAUAUCUGGUUAGGAUAAUGUCUUCCUCACAAAGGAUUUUGGUUGUUAUUUUCGCAAUUAUACUGAUAUGGAAGGUCACACAGGCAGAGGGACAGUUUUGUCAGCGAGUUAAAGGUCGCGGCUGCAGGGACACCAGAAAAAGUCUUCACGUCAGAGGUCUGUGUGCUAGACUUGGCGACAUAUUAGGAAAGAUUAUGAGAUGUCAACAGGUUGGUUCAUGUUGCCGAUGCAACGUUAUUGGCAAUAAACCGGGAACUAUUGGAACAGAUUAUGACGGGUCAGAAUCCUAUGACAAUAUUUUGUAUUCUGAAAUAUAUUAAACCGUUCUGAAAUAUAUUAAACCGUUCUACAAUAAUCAAAAUGGCUACAAUAUCACAUUUCUUUAAAAUUUGGAAACAUUCUGGUUCUCGUUAGACUAAUAAUGACAAAAUGGAAGGAUAUUUGUGGAUGAAUGCACUAAUAUUCUGUGUUUAUUAAACAAACUUUGAGAAUAUGUGAUUUAAUAUCUUAAUAAAAUAAACAAUUAAUGAAUCUUUUGUACAAAAUGUUUAUAGCAAAAUAUAUACUUGUCGAAUAAGUC